UUCCGGUUGAUCCUGCCGGACCUGACUGCUAUCGGAUUGAUACUAAGCCAUGCGAGUCUUUGCAGCAAUGCAAGGCGGACUGCUCAGUAACGCGUAGUCAAUCUACCCUAUGGAUGGGGAUAACCUCGGGAAACUGAGAAUAAUACCCAAUAGAUCAUAAUGCCUGGAAUGGUUUAUGGUUCAAAUGAUUUUUCGCCGUAGGAUGGGACUGCGUUCUAUCAGCUUGUUGGUGAGGUAAUGGCCCACCAAGGCUAUAACAGAUACGGGCUCUGAGAGGAGACGCCCGGAGAUGGGUACUGAGACACGGACCCAGGCCCUAUGGGGCGCAGCAGGCGAGAAAACUUUGCAAUGUGCGAAAGCACGACAAGGUUAAUCCGAGUGUUUUCUGCUAAAGAAAUCUUUUGUCAGUCAUAAAACCACUAACGAAUAAGGGGUGGGCAAGUUCUGGUGUCAGCCGCCGCGGUAAAACCAGCACCUCAAGUGGUCAGGAGGAUUAUUGGGCCUAAAGCAUCCGUAGCCUGCUGUAUAAGUUUUCGGUUAAAUCCAUGUGCUCAACACAUGGGCUGCCGGGAAUACUGUACAGCUAGGGAGUGGGAGAGGUAGACGGUACUCGGUAGGAAGUGGUAAAAUGCUUUGAUCUAUCGAUGACCACCUGUGGCGAAGGCGGUCUACCAGAACACGUUCGACGGUGAGGGAUGAAAGCUGGGGGAGCAAACCGGAUUAGAUACCCGGGUAGUCCCAGCUGUAAACUAUGCAAACUAAGUGAUGCGUUGGCUUGUGGCCAGCGCAGUGCCUCAGGGAAGCCGUUAAGUUUGCCGCCUGGGAAGUACGUACG
rnacentral:rRNA from 1 species